UACGAAGGGGGCUAGCGUUGCUCGGAAUCACUGGGCGUAAAGCGCGCGUAGGCGGAUUGUUAAGUCAGGGGUGAAAUCCUGGAGCUCAACUCCAGAACUGCCUUUGAUACUGGAGAGCUUGAGUCCGGAAGAGGUGAGUGGAACUCCGAGUGUAGAGGUGAAAUUCGUAGAUAUUCGGAAGAACACCAGUGGCGAAGGCAGCUCACUGGUCCGGUACUGACGCUGAUGUGCGAAAGCGUGGGGAGCAAACAGG
rnacentral:rRNA from 1 species